rnacentral:rRNA from 1 species
GACGAACGCUGGCGGCGUGCUUAACACAUGCAAGUCGAACGGAAAGGCCCUGCUUUUGUGGGGUGCUCGAAUGGCGAACGGGUGAGUAACACGUGAGUAACCUGCCCUUGACUUUGGGAUAACUUCAGGAAACUGGGGCUAAUACCGGAUAGGAGCUCCUGCUGCAUGGUGGGGGUUGGAAAGUUUCGGCGGUUGGGGAUGGACUCGCGGCUUAUCAGCUUGUUGGUGGGGUAGUGGCUUACCAAGGCUUUGACGGGUAGCCGGCCUGAGAGGGUGACCGGCCACAUUGGGACUGAGAUACGGCCCAGACUCCUACGGGAGGCAGCAGUGGGGAAUAUUGCACAAUGGGCGGAAGCCUGAUGCAGCAACGCCGCGUGCGGGAUGACGGCCUUCGGGUUGUAAACCGCUUUCGCCUGUGACGAAGCGUGAGUGACGGUAAUGGGUAAAGAAGCACCGGCUAACUACGUGCCAGCAGCCGCGGUGAUACGUAGGGUGCGAGCGUUGUCCGGAUUUAUUGGGCGUAAAGGGCUCGUAGGUGGUUGAUCGCGUCGGAAGUGUAAUCUUGGGGCUUAACCCUGAGCGUGCUUUCGAUACGGGUUGACUUGAGGAAGGUAGGGGAGAAUGGAAUUCCUGGUGGAGCGGUGGAAUGCGCAGAUAUCAGGAGGAACACCAGUGGCGAAGGCGGUUCUCUGGGCCUUUCCUGACGCUGAGGAGCGAAAGCGUGGGGAGCGAACAGGCUUAGAUACCCUGGUAGUCCACGCUGUAAACGGUGGGUACUAGGUGUGGGGUCCAUUCCACGGGUUCCGUGCCGUAGCUAACGCUUUAAGUACCCCGCCUGGGGAGUACGGCCGCAAGGCUAAAACUCAAAGGAAUUGACGGGGCCCCGCACAAGCGGCGGAGCAUGCGGAUUAAUUCGAUGCAACGCGUAGAACCUUACCUGGGUUUGACAUGGAUCGGGAGUGCUCAGAGAUGGGUGUGCCUCUUUUGGGGUCGGUUCACAGGUGGUGCAUGGCUGUCGUCAGCUCGUGUCGUGAGAUGUUGGGUUAAGUCCCGCAACGAGCGCAACCCCUGUUCACUGUUGCCAGCACGUUAUGGUGGGGACUCAGUGGAGACCGCCGGGGUCAACUCGGAGGAAGGUGGGGAUGACGUCAAGUCAUCAUGCCCCUUAUGUCCAGGGCUUCACGCAUGCUACAAUGGCUGGUACAGAGAGUGGCGAGCCUGUGAGGGUGAGCGAAUCUCGGAAAGCCGGUCUCAGUUCGGAUUGGGGUCUGCAACUCGACCUCAUGAAGUCGGAGUCGCUAGUAAUCGCAGAUCAGCAACGCUGCGGUGAAUACGUUCCCGGGGCU